UACGUAGGUGGCAAGCGUUGUCCGGAAUUACUGGGUGUAAAGGGCGCGUAGACGGGAAUGCAAGUCAGAUGUGAAAUUCUUGGGCUCAACCCAAGAGCUGCAUCUGAAACUGUGUUUCUUGAGUGCUGGAGAGGAUAGUGGAAUUCCUAGUGUAGCGGUGAAAUGCGUAGAUAUUAGGAGGAACACCAGUGGCGAAGGCGACUAUCUGGACAGUAACUGACGUUGAGGCGCGAAAGCGUGGGGAGCGAACAGGAUUAGAUACCCUGGUAGUCCACGCCGUAAACGAUGGAUACUAGGUGUAGGAGGUAUCGACCCCUUCUGUGCCGGAGUUAACACAAUAAGUAUCCCACCUGGGGAGUACGGCCGCAAGGUUGAA
rnacentral:rRNA from 1 species